AGCCUAUGGGCUUUGUCCGCUGCGCCGACGGGCGCGGGAGGCGGAAGUGUUAAUUGCUCGCCGGCUUCGUCGGCCGGAGCUCCUGCCGGUUACAUAACAACGCCCGCACCGGCUGUGGCUGCUUUCCCUGCGACGCCGCGUCGGCCCCAGGAUGCUCUAGAAGCUCCCCCUUCCCGGCCGCCGGCUCCCCAACAAGGAGACAGAACCUUAAGCGGAGUUUGGAAGGAGGAAAACUACAUGAUUGGGGAAGAGUAAAAGGAAGUUCCCAAGUAGUGGCUGAGAACUUGGAGUGUUAGCAUACCAAAGGCGUGAAUGACAGAGGAAGUACCCUCCAGUGCACUUAGUGAGGUCAACCUACGUCUUCUUUGCCACGAUGACAUAGACACAGUGAAGCAACUCUGUGGUGACUGGUUCCCAAUUGAGUACCCUGACUCAUGGUAUCGUGACAUCACUUCAAAUAAGAAAUUUUUUUCCCUUGCUGCAACUUACAGAGGAGCCAUUGUGGGCAUGAUAGUUGCUGAAAUAAAAAGUAGGACAAAGGUACACAAAGAGGACGGAGAUAUUCUAGCCUCAAACUUCUCUGUUGAUACACAGGUCGCGUACAUCUUAAGUCUAGGAGUGGUAAAAGAAUUCAGAAAGCAUGGAAUAGGUUCCCUUUUACUUGAAAGCCUAAAGGAUCACAUAUCUACUACGGCUCAAGACCACUGCAAAGCCAUCUACCUGCACGUCCUCACCACUAACAACACAGCAAUAAAUUUCUAUGAAAAUAGAGACUUUAAGCAACACCACUAUCUGCCCUAUUAUUACUCCAUAAGAGGGGUCCUCAAAGAUGGCUUCACCUAUGUGCUCUACAUCAAUGGGGGACAUCCUCCUUGGACAAUUUUUGACUACAUUCAGCACAUCGGGUCUGCAUUAGCCAACCUGAGCCCGUGUUCAAUUCCACAGCGGAUUUAUCGCCAGGCCCAGAGUCUUCUGUGCAGCCUUCUGCCGUGGUCAAGCAUUUCUGCCAAGAGUGGCAUCGAGUAUAGCAGAGCCAUGUGAUUUGGUCAGAAGGCCCUUCCCAGAAGCCACCAAGAGGUGCCUGAGUAUCUAAUUACCUUCACCUGAGAGCCUCGCCUCUGCACCUCUAUAAACCAGCCCUGUGGGACGGGCUCUAAAGGUGGAGCUGCCACCUGUUGGGUUGUCAACCCAAGCUGCUGUUCAGUGAGCCUUUGGGAGCCUGGGGUCAGCAGACCAGGGAUGAUGACGGAGAGGCACAUGGAGAGUAUUUUGUACCUCCUGCUCCUGAAGCCAUUUACUUCUGCACUGAUGCUGCUAACCCUUGCUCCCAUGAGUGCUCCAGAUCUCGCUAGCAAAUCUACCCUCUGUGGACUAGAUGGGGAUUUGGCCUGACUUAUUGUGACGCCCCCUGUUCCCCUCUCCUGGAAACAGGAGGAUGUGAGUAGAUUUUCUCCUUUCGUACCCAGGACCUCAUAGCUGAAGAGAGGAGCCCCUCCCCUACCUGCUGUACCCUCCACCCUCAUACUCCUGCUGGCUGGCAUGAACUGUCCACAUGACCGCCACUCCUUCAUUCUGAGUAAACUAGCUUGGCCUUGAGGAGAAUGUAGCUUCAGAACAAUAGAGCAAGUGAUUAAGGGAAGGCCAAAGGCCCUCUGGGAGCAUGAAAUAACCAAGGCCAGCUGAUAGCCGAGGCUCAGCGCAGAAGGCUAGGUCAGAAGCCACUCUUGCCUCAUCCUUUGAGGACUGUCAAGAUAUAUGGGCACAGAACCUUUGGCAUUGUCCCCCGGAACAGACUGUCAUGUCAGAUGGCCCGGCUUCUCCAGCAAAGUGGACUCCUGAUGACCUUGGUAUAGGGUGGCUCGAUAGCAAGGGUUCAUUCCCUGGUUCACCUUGAAGACAUACUCUCUAAUUCCCUUCUGCCUUGGAUUUUGCUCAACACUGAAGAGAGAGAUCAGAAUUCCUAUUUCAUAAUGAAAUACAUUGUCUGCCUCAGCUGAACUGGACCUAGGGGUGGGAAGGAUGAGAGCUCUGCAGUACUCCCGAGAUCAAGCCUAGGAUUUUUCCCUGUCUAGAUGAUUCCCAUACCUGAGCCUCCUCAACCAUCAACUAUAACAGAGCCACCAUGAUUUCUCUUUGUAUAGAAAGUUAUGAACAUGGAUCCCAAUAUCUGGCUCCUCCAUGCAGUCCGUGUAAGCGGCCCUGGUCCUAGGGGGACAGAGCCAUGUGCCUUGUAGUUUUCAGCCCCAAUGGAGAAGGUUUUGUCUUCCUCGGGAUUCACUGAGGGGAGGAGACCAUGGCAGUAGCUCAGCUGUUUCAGUUCUGUGAAGUGUGCUUGCAGCAUGAGAUCUGUCCUUGCCAUCAUGUUCAGUUGUCUCCUGGCCCCUAAUGACCCCUGUAGUUUCUGAGGUACAGUGUAGUACCAGCCUCCAAGAGUACCCAGUGUCCAGUGUUAAAAGCAGCCAUUCUUACAAACCUCUAAACCUGAGUUGGGGAGGGGGGGAAAAUCCAAACCUCCUUCCCUGCCCCACACGAAUCGAAUCUUCCCUAAAUCUCUUUUAGACUUUUUUAAUCUGUAGGACUUUUCCAGGAUCCUAGGGCAAUCAGCCACCAUCUUCUAGUCCUAGUGAUGGACCCGCCCACCCUGGUGGUGGCCUCCUGGGGAGGUACAAUAGUUAGAGAAACCUCGAAAUUAAGGGGGAGCCCCUUGGGCUGGACAAGCAUUUACUGUUUUGUGCGUCCUUCAUCAGUUGAUGGUUUGUAUUGCUCUCACCCUCUUGUCCCUUGGGGGUGGGCAAGCAUCAUAAAGUACUUGAUUUUAAAAGAAAUUAAGGGCAGUGGUGAUACCGUUGGUACAAGAGGGGUUAGGUUUCCUCCUAAAUAAGUUUUGACAGCUUCGAUGCCGGCCAGUGCUGAGGCCCCAGUGUGGUCUUAUAUUUAAUGAUAAAAUAAAGAUGUUCGUCUGAUUUUGUUUUCUGUGCUGAGGGGUGGGGAGAACUUUUCCAGAUCUGAAGCGUCUGGACAUGCAGUGCUCAAGCUAAAAACAACUUGCUGUGGCCCCUCAGCACCCCUUUCUCCCAUAAUCACUGUAGUGUCCGACUUGUUGUUAAAUGGAUUGUAGUGUUUUGUCUUAUUAGAAAAACAACAACAGAAUAAAACCUUAAUCGAA